AAGGUUUUUAGGGACCCAGCACUGGAUGGAUGUUCCUGCAUCCAUCGCGUUGGUGGAGGAGCAGCUCCUGCUCCAGGAGGGAAUUCCCGUGUCCCAGGAAAAGGGAAUUGCUCACACAACAGCGGGGAAACAUCCCGGGAUUGGGGCUUGUGGUGUUUGGGACACGGUGUGAGGUUUCCCUGCUGGCUGAGCACAUCCCAUGGGACAUUCCCUGUCAGGAAUUUGGGAUAUAGUGUGAGGUGUCCCUGCUGGCUGAGCACAUCCCAUGGGACAUUCCCUGGCUGUUUACCCGCUGCUUUUCCAGCUCCAUUUCAUCUCCCGUCGUGGAAUUCCCCUGCAGUUCCCACCUCCCCCCCCCUACCUGCCCCUUCCCACGAGGACCGGGAUAAUUAAACAUGGGGGUAAUUAAACAUGGGGGUAAUUAACCAUCGUGCGGGGCGGGCACGGAGCGACCCCGCUGUUUGCCCAGGAGAUAAGGGACGGGAGAUAAGGGGGUGUUUGCUGCCAGCCCAAGGACAGGGCCAGCCCCUGCCCGGGCAGGACAGGUCCCCCGGCCCCGGGGUGACACCUGCGGUGACAUCUGGCGGGGCUGGCACUGCUCUUCCCAUGGGCACGGCCGGCACCGGAGCUUGAAAGGGAAAAAUGAGGAGCGACCUUGGGAUGUGCCCGACUGUGGCUAAAAUCCCACCCAUAAAAUCCCACUCUUGAAAUCCACCUGUUAAAAUCCCACUGCUAAAAUCCCUGUGUUAAAAUACCUCUGUUAAAAUCCCACUGACAAAAUCCCAUUGAUAAAAUCCCAUUGAUAAAACCCCUCUGAUAAAACCCCACUGUGCUGUGUCCUCAGGGAAUUUGGGAAAAGCAAAGCUCACAAAACGAGGUUCCACCUGCUGGGUUUUUCCCGGAUUUUCCUGUCCCCACUGCCACAUCCUUCCUUUGGGAUGUCAUUGCUGAAAUGUCACCCCUGGAGCCACCCCAAAUCCCUGGGGAGGAUGUGGCAGUGCCAGCACAGCCCAGCUCCUCUUGCUCCCAACCGAUGGAUGCCAGGGAAUAAAACAUUCCCAAGGUUUCCAUGACCCCAAAACCCAUCCUGCUGGGUUUUUUUCCCCGGUCUGUGCCAGGUUUGAGGUGAGAUGAAAGGGCCCAGCCCCACCUGGGGCACACCUGGAGCACAGCUGUCACCUCCCGGCCCUUUAUGGCCCUUUGUGGUGCCGCGGGUUGAUAAGGGCUCACCUGGGGGUGUUUGAUAAGGACUCACCUGAGGGAAGGCGCAGGGAGGGGUUGGUCCCUUCCCUGUCCCCUGUCCCCUGACCUCGGGAACAUCAUCCUGAAAGCAGGACCGGCCCCAAGCAAAGAUCCAAGUGAGGGUUGAAACCCCGCAGUUCCGAGCUCCGGGAGGGGGAAUUUCCUUUGUCAAGGGAAUUUUGGGAUCCUCUGGGAUGAUGGAGCCGUGUGUCAGUGUGGGAUUUAAUCUUAUUUAAGGCUGGGUGUGAAAUCGCUGCCUUUGGCCAGGCAGCUGC